AUUGAACGCUGGCGGCAGGCCUAACACAUGCAAGUCGAACGGUAACAGGAAGAAGCUUGCUUCUUUGCUGACGAGUGGCGGACGGGUGAGUAAUGUCUGGGAAACUGCCUGAUGGAGGGGGAUAACUACUGGAAACGGUAGCUAAUACCGCAUAACGUCGCAAGACCAAAGAGGGGGACCUUCGGGCCUCUUGCCAUCGGAUGUGCCCAGAUGGGAUUAGCUAGUAGGUGGGGUAACGGCUCACCUAGGCGACGAUCCCUAGCUGGUCUGAGAGGAUGACCAGCCACACUGGAACUGAGACACGGUCCAGACUCCUACGGGAGGCAGCAGUGGGGAAUAUUGCACAAUGGGCGCAAGCCUGAUGCAGCCAUGCCGCGUGUAUGAAGAAGGCCUUCGGGUUGUAAAGUACUUUCAGCGGGGAGGAAGGGAGUAAAGUUAAUACCCUUGCUCAUUGACGUUACCCGCAGAAGAAGCACCGGCUAAAUCCGU
rnacentral:rRNA from 1 species